GAUGAAGAACGUAGCGAAAUGCGAUAAGUAAUGUGAAUUGCAGAAUUCAGUGAAUCAUCGAAUCUUUGAACGCACCUUGCACCCUUUGGAAUUCCAAAGGGUAUGCUCGUUUGAGUGUCAUUGUACUCUCACACUCUCCGAUCCUAUGGAUUCGGGGAGCGGUGGACUUGGGUGUUGCUGCCUUUCCUUGUGGCUCACCUCAAAUGUGUCAGUGCACCUCUUGGUUGGACAUAGUACGGCGUGAUAAGUGUCUUCGCCGGCACCUCGCAAGAGGGUGGCCGAUCGGGAGCUCUGUGCUUUCAAACCGUCUUCGGACAAUUUCUGACAACUUGACCUCAAAUCGAGUAGGACUACCCGCUGAACUUAAGCAUAUCAAUAAGCGGAGGA
rnacentral:misc_RNA from 1 species